UCCUUUUUUUUUGUUAGCUGAGCUGGUAGAACACAGUCUGAGGGGCGUCCUGAUACACGGAAACAAGACGCUGCUGAGAAAAAAAUCACCAGAGUUUCACCUCAUGACACACCCUACCUCUGCCUUGUUCAUAGAACCCAUGACGUGAGCUGGCAGGCCCUCGCUGAUCGGCAUGGAAUGACCCCGGAGUCUCACGCAACACCGGAGGACUAGAGGACAGCACACGGCUAACGGCUAACCGCCGCCGCCUCGAGUUCCACAGCCUGGGCUCUCACAUCACGUCUCAACGGAGGCUGCACGUUGCCGCUCCCCGUCAGUCCACGACCUUUCGGGCGCAACUCGGGGCUUCGAUGCCUCUCGCUAGCCAACAGAAGCUACGAGGUUAGCAAACUUCCGCACGGAUGUGAAACGCGUUAGCCGAUCGUCUGAAUUAAUGGUGGACAGCCGUCCAAUGACAACGUUGGCAGUGGUAUUAAUGAACGAUGCGUAAAAAAUAUUAUUUCACACAAAAUGAUUUUAACGUUGAAACGUUUUGUCAGCCGCUGAAGGACAUUGAAAUGAACGCAUCUAACUGCAGCGCUAACGCCGCGCUAUGCUAACGCGAGCUAGCUCGCCUUUAUGCCUCUUCGCAUGCUGGCCGGCGGCCCCGCAUCCGACAGAUAAACGACUGGAUCGUCUUUGAGCCGGAGGUACCUUUCUUCAUAAUAUAUCACCUUUUGAGUUAUUGAUAUUAAUAACGUUACACCGGUUGUUUUUUUUUGUUGAAUCGGGUGUCGUGAAUGUGACUCACCCCCCGGCGAAAAGAUGAAGCAGCGUGUCUUUCUGUGCCAUCUCUCUCUCCUUUCUUUUCACGCAGCCACCAUACUCGUAAUGUUGUUCCUGUUAAAAUUGUCCCAAAGUAAAAAAAAAAAAAAAAAAAAAGAGAGAA